GAAAGAUAAAGUUUAUUAACUAAAAACACGGCAAAAUUUAGACAGUCAAGCAUAUGGCAUGACCAAGAAGACUUCCUGGAGGAGGUGAUGUUUGAGCUGGGCCUUGAGAAAUGAACAGGUGAACCAGAUUUCAAGAGGCAAGGAAGUGAAAACCAUUUCCUCCUCCCCGUGGACUCGAUCCAGAGGCUGCGCCCAUCUCUCCCACGUCAACAGCCCUGUGUCCUUGGCGGAGAACAGUGCUCUCAUUCUGGGCCUUUCCCUUCUUCCUCAGCCAAACCCCUGCGCCUGCACCUCCUUGCAGCUAAUAAAAAGACUGAAUUUCCUGAUGCAGGGAAAGCCCCCACCGGCUGUCACUCACAGGGAUGAGCGAAAUCUGCCGAGGCCACACUGUCCUCAUCUACAGAUUUCCUUGCCUCCUCCACUUGCAUUUUCCCAGAGCAGCUAGCUCUGUCCCAGGCCUCAGGGUGUCCCCGGGCUGAGGUGGAAUCCAGCUACGACCACCUUCCAAAGCCAAGCAGUCCUGAGUGAACCUGCAGAAAUGCAAGCGCUGGGCACUCCCUGACGCCGAGUCAAGAAGGUCUCCCCGUGAGAAGGCAUGAAUUGAUUUGGGACAAAAGGCACUUGCUGGUCCAGGCAGGCAGGAUUUGGGGCACCCCUGUGCAGAGUGGAGGUGGGUGGGUAUAUUUCCUUGGCCCGCAGAUCCUCUUGUCUGGUGGGAUCAGCCGCUCCAGGCAAGGGCCACCUGGCCCAGCUUUGGGAGAUGUGGAGAACGAAUUUCACAGUGAUUUCCACUGGGCCGUGGCCCUGAAACAGCUGCAGGAGGGGACACAGCUGGUGCUGCCCCCACCCCUUCCAGCAGAGCUUCUCUGGAGAAAUGCCACCUUCCCCAUAGGAAGGGAGAGGGUUCUACUUGCUGUGCUUCCAGGGGCCAUGGGAAGUUGCCUCUAAGCCAAACCUCCAUUUUUAAGGGCACAAGUUGGCUUUUAUUAAAAUAAAAUCCCAUUAUCAUUUAUUCCAGUGGCUCCCAAACCUGGCUAACCGUCGGGAUCAUCCAGGAUGUUCAUUAAAAAAUAAAGAUUAAUAAAAAUAAUGAGUUUGGGAACCCAUCCUGGACCUAAUGAAUCAGGAUCUCUUUGAGUAGGGCUAAGGCUAGAAUCAGUGUGAACCAGUUUAAAUCAGACAGCUUUCUUGAUUCCAGAAUUUUCCGCCCACAGAAGAAUAGCAUGAAGAGGGAGCAACGAGGGCUCGGAUAACAGAGAAUAUACUUAGAGCCUAUCUACGUGCCAGCCAGAGCACUGCAGACUAAUCCUACAUUAUCUUAUUUCGUCAUCAAAAAAAACCUAUGAGACAUCUUGGAUACCUACCCAACAUCCUUGAAUAAAGACCAAGAUUCUUGUCCCCACGUCACAAAUGGGCAGUUGAGGAUCCUGCCUUCAAGAAAGGUAUAAUUCAGAUCCUAAACUAAGUUGGGGCUGGAGUGAAUUUUUCACAGGUGGAGGAUACUCCUCAGGGAUAGACUGAGGGGUGAGCGCCCCAGAUUGGUGCAUCAGACUCCUGGUGCCGGAUGCAGGGUAGACAGGGCCCCCCUUCUGACAAAGGAGGAGAAACGAUAUGAGUCCCAGAGACUCAGCAAUGAGUUGAGGGGAGGGGCCAGGCCCAUUUCACCAGAGAUCCAGUAAGGCAGAGACUCAGCAUCCCCACCACAGAGCUGGAAGAGGCCUAUGGAGACCUUCUGAAGCUACAGGUGAGGCCCAGAGAGGGACACUUGCUGUGGAAGGCUGAAUAAUGGCCCCCAAGUAUAUUCAGGUCAUCCCCAGAACCCGUGAAUGGCAAAGAGAACUUUGUAGGUGUGAUUCAACUAAGACUCUUGAGAUGGGACUAUCCAGGUGAGCCCAGUGUAAUCACAAGCAGCCUUAUAAGGAUGUGGGCGGGUCGGAAUAGAGGAGAAGGUGAUGCAGUGCAGAAGCAGAGACUGGAGUGAUGUCCUCUGAAGAUGGAAGAAAGGGUCACAAGGCGAGGAAUACAGGUGGCCACUAGAAGCUGAAAAAGGCAAGGAGAUGGAUUCUCCCUUGGAGCCUCCAGGAGGAACCAGCCCUGCAGGCAUCUUGACUUUAGCCCAGUGAGGCUGAUUUUGGACUGCUGACCUCCAAAAUCUAAGAGAAUAAAUUUGUGUUG